rnacentral:rRNA from 1 species
GCUACGGGUGGCAGCAGUGAGGAAUAUUGGUCAAUGGCCGGAAGGCUGAACCAGCCAAGCCGCGUGAAGGACGACGGUGCCAAGCAUUGUAAACUUCUUUUGUCAAGGGACAAAAUCAGGCUCGAGCGCCUGACCGAGGGUACUUGAAGAAAAAGCAUCGGCUAAAUCCGUCCCAGCAGCCCCGGUAAUAGGGAAGGUCCGGGCGUUUUCCGGAUUUAAUGGGUUUAAAGGGCGCGGAGUCCGGUCGUUAAGCAUGCCGGGAAAUUUUCUGGCUCAACCAGGAGAGUGAGGCGCGAACUGGAGACCUGGAGUGCAAGGAAGGCAGGCGGAAUGCGUGGUGUAGCGGUGAAAUGCUUAGAUAUCACGAAGAACCCCGAUUGCGAAGGCAGCUUACUAAACUGUGACUGACAUUGAUGCUCGAAAGUGUGGGUAUCAAACAGGAUUAGAUACCCGUGUAGUC